AUUGAACGCUAGCGGGAUGCUUUACACAUGCAAGUCGAACGGCAGCGCGGACUUCGGUCUGGCGGCGAGUGGCGAACGGGUGAGUAAUGUAUCGGAACGUGCCCAGUAGCGGGGGAUAACUACGCGAAAGCGUAGCUAAUACCGCAUACGCCCUACGGGGGAAAGCAGGGGAUCGUAAGACCUUGCACUAUUGGAUCGGCCGAUAUCGGAUUAGCUAGUUGGUGAGGUAACGGCUCACCAAGGCGACGAUCCGUAGCUGGUUUGAGAGGACGACCAGCCACACUGGGACUGAGACACGGCCCAGACUCCUACGGGAGGCAGCAGUGGGGAAUUUUGGACAAUGGGGGCAAACCUGAUCCAGCCAUCCCGCGUGUGCGAUGAAGGCCUUCGGGUUGUAAAGCACUUUUGGCAGGAAAGAAACGUCGCGGGCUAAUACACCGUGGAACUGACGGUACCUGCAGAAUAAGCACCGGCUAACUACGUG
rnacentral:rRNA from 1 species